UACGUAGGGUGCAAGCGUUGUCCGGAAUUAUUGGGCGGAAAGAGCUCGUAGGCGGUUUGUCGCGUCUGGUGUGAAAACUCGGGGCUUAACUCCGGGCCUGCAGUGGGUACGGGCAGACUAGGGUGCGGUAGGGGAGACUGGAAUUCCUGGUGUAGCGGUGAAAUGCGCAGAUAUCAGGAGGAACACCGGUGGCGAAGGCGGGUCUCUGGGCCGUAACUGACGCUGAGGAGCGAAAGCGUGGGGAGCGAACAGG
rnacentral:rRNA from 1 species